GACGCCCGGUCCCUUUCCGAACCCGGAAGCUAAGGCCUGGCACGGCGAUGGUACUGCACUCGAGAGGGUGUGGGAGAGUAGCACGCCGCCGCAU
rnacentral:rRNA from 1 species